AUGUUGAUGGGUAGGAGAGCGUCGUGUGGCCAGCGAAGCGGCGGUGUGAACCAGCCGUGGAGGCUACACGAGUGAGAAUGCAGGCAUGAGUAGCGAAUGACGGGUGAGAAACCCGUCCGCCGGAUGACUAAGGGUUCCAGGGUCAAGCUAAUCUGCCCUGGGUAAGUCGGGACCUAAGGCGAGGCCGACAGGCGUAGUCGAUGGACAACGGGUUGAUAUUCCCGUACCCGCGAAAGAGCGUCCAUGCUGAACCCAGCGAUGCUAACCAUCUGAAGCUCCGUGAUGGCUGCCCUUCGGGGUGGUCACGUGUGGGUGGAACGUGGGACCCGGACUGGUAGUAGGCAAGCGAUGGGGUGACGCAGGAAGGUAGCCAAGCGUGGCGAUGGUAGUCCACGUCCAAGGGUGUAGGGCGAGCUGUAGGCAAAUCCGCAGCU
rnacentral:rRNA from 14 species